GGCACAGAGCGCAGCAAGCGGAUGCACAAUUGCAGAUGCUGUUUUCUGUGCUUUAAAGAUGUCCAUGUGACAAAUUCAUACAGAACGAUAGCUUUUAAAAAGCCCAAAUGGAUUGUUGCGUCUCGUCUAGCUUGCGUUCUAGCCGUUUUGAGCCUACUUUUUAACCCGUGAGUGGAUACCGACUUUUCAAGGACGAUAUAUAACUAUAUAAUGGACAGAGUAGUGCAAAGGCUAUCCUUUCCAUGUCUUGUGAUGUGAUUUUAUUUUUAUUCACACGUUGAACAAAGUCAAAAUUUGAGGAGUCAAUAUUGCACCCUCGUCUCAAACUGCCCAGCGGUCUACAUGCGGUGACAUCUGUCAUAGACUGAGAUGUUUUCAUAGUCUCUCGUACCAGAUCGAGUGACCAGGACUGUUCGGAAACUCGUUAAAAUUUUGGAAAUUACACGUUCCUGGAGUAAUGGCGAAAUAAAAACAAGGAUGCCGAAGAUGCGCCAUCCAGUUGACGGAAAACCGAUGUGCAAAUGUCUAUUAUGAGCGGCAAGUGCACAGCCAGAUGAAAUAUGAUAUCUGUACAUCCCUUAAAAGAAAGAGUAGUGGCCAAGCGUUACCAGGCAAGAGGAGGAGAGCGAGACGUAACACCUGUCACACUGACAGAGAGGUGGCUGUGAGGGUCAGAAUGAGAUCUGGAGCGAGGCAUUUGCUGAGGUGUGAAGAUGGAAGCCUGACCUAAGGGAGCACCACCACUGCAUAACCC